rnacentral:rRNA from 1 species
UACAGAGGUCCCAAGCGUUGUUCGGAUUCACUGGGUUUAAAGGGUGCGUAGGUGGGCUGGUAAGUCAGUGGUGAAAUCUCCAGGCUUAACUUGGAAACUGCCAUUGAUACUAUCAGUCUUGAAUACCGUGGAGGUCAGCGGAAUAUGUCAUGUAGCGGUGAAAUGCUUAGAUAUGACAUAGAACACCAAUUGCGAAGGCAGCUGGCUACACGAAUAUUGACACUGAUGCACGAAAGCGUGGGGAUCAAACAGG